ACGCUGGCGGCGUGCUUAACACAUGCAAGUCGAACGGUGAACACGGAGCUUGCUCUGUGGGAUCAGUGGCGAACGGGUGAGUAACACGUGAGCAACCUGCCCCUGACUCUGGGAUAAGCGCUGGAAACGGCGUCUAAUACUGGAUAUGUGACGUGACCGCAUGGUCUGCGUUUGGAAAGAUUUUUCGGUUGGGGAGGGGCUCGCGGCCUAUCAGCUUGUUGGUGAGGUAAUGGCUCACCAAGGCGUCGACGGGUAGCCGGCCUGAGAGGGUGACCGGCCACACUGGGACUGAGACACGGCCCAGACUCCUACGGGAGGCAGCAGUGGGGAAUAUUGCACAAUGGGCGAAAGCCUGAUGCAGCAACGCCGCGUGAGGGAUGACGGCCUUCGGGUUGUAAACCUCUUUUAGCAGGGAAGAAGCGAAAGUGACGGUACCUGCAGAAAAAGCGCCGGCUAACUACGUGCCAGCAGCCGCGGUAAUACGUAGGGCGCAAGCGUUAUCCGGAAUUAUUGGGCGUAAAGAGCUCGUAGGCGGUUUGUCGCGUCUGCUGUGAAAUCCCGAGGCUCAACCUCGGGCCUGCAGUGGGUACGGGCAGACUAGAGUGCGGUAGGGGAGAUUGGAAUUCCUGGUGUAGCGGUGGAAUGCGCAGAUAUCAGGAGGAACACCGAUGGCGAAGGCAGAUCUCUGGGCCGUAACUGACGCUGAGGAGCGAAAGGGUGGGGAGCAAACAGGCUUAGAUACCCUGGUAGUCCACCCCGUAAACGUUGGGAACUAGUUGUGGGGUCCAUUCCACGGAUUCCGUGACGCAGCUAACGCAUUAAGUUCCCCGCCUGGGGAGUACGGCCGCAAGGCUAAAACUCAAAGGAAUUGACGGGGACCCGCACAAGCGGCGGAGCAUGCGGAUUAAUUCGAUGCAACGCGAAGAACCUUACCAAGGCUUGACAUAUACGAGAACGGGCCAGAAAUGGUCAAC
rnacentral:rRNA from 1 species